rnacentral:rRNA from 1 species
GUCCACGCCUUAAACGAUGAAUACUCGGUGCUGGGCCGUAAGGUUCAGUGCCAAAGCUAACGCAUUAAGUAUUCCACCUGGGGAGUACGAUCGCAAGGUUGAAACUACAAAAGGAAUUGGACGGGGGCCCGCACAAGCAGUGGAGCAUGUGGUUCAAUUCGAUGCAACGCGAAGAACCUUACCCGGAUUUGAAAGGCCAGCGACAACCGAUGAAAGUCGGUCUUGUAGCAAUGCACGCUGGUACAGGUGCUGCAUGGCUGUUGU